GUUCAUCUAAGGAACAGAAGCUGAUUUCUGCUGCUAUCAGAACACAUGCUGGACUUGUUUACAUACAGGCUGAGUUUAGCACAAUCAGAGGGGCUUAAUGGAUUUAUACAUAGUAAAAUUUAGGAUCAAGGCAAAUAAAACUAUUUCCCAACAUUGACUACAGUUUCAUCAUGUUUUCCUCCUCCUCUGGACUGAAGUAGACAUCAGGUACUCAGGAGACAAACCCUGGCAGUUUAACCCAGCUGUGGCCAGGACGCUUCCGCUAAUUAAUGAAGCUCAACAACUACAAACACAACACAUUGUAGUGUUUCUAUUAGACAUUUCCUGUCUUUUUUUUUUACCACUUAAAUAUGUGAUGCACAAUUAAAAAUCCAUGCUGGACUGUAUAAUUUCACUGUUUUCCAUUUUGACAAAUUAACCAGCAUACAAAUUAUUCCCAUCCUCCCUGGCUUUACUAAAAGGAAUCCACUGGCAGGAAUGCACCUUUUGACUGUUAAACUGGCAUAUGGAUUGUUUU
ensembl:lncRNA